rnacentral:rRNA from 1 species
GACGAACGCUGGCGGCGUGCCUAAUACAUGCAAGUCGAACGAGAGCGACCGGUGCUUGCACUGGUCAAUCUAGUGGCGAACGGGUGAGUAACACGUGGGUAACCUGCCCAUCAGAGGGGGAUAACAUUCGGAAACGGAUGCUAAAACCGCAUAGGUCCUUUAACCGCAUGGUUGAAGGAGGAAAAGAGGCGCAAGCUUCUGCUGAUGGAUGGACCCGCGGUGCAUUAGCUAGUUGGUGAGGUAACGGCUCACCAAGGCCGUGAUGCAUAACCGACCUGAGAGGGUGAUCGGCCACAUUGGGACUGAGACACGGCCCAAACUCCUACGGGAGGCAGCAGUAGGGAAUCUUCCGCAAUGGACGCAAGUCUGACGGAGCAACGCCGCGUGAGUGAAGAAGGUUUUCGGAUCGUAAAACUCUGUUGUUAGAGAAGAACAAGUGCUAGAGUAACUGUUAGCGCCUUGACGGUAUCUAACCAGAAAGCCACGGCUAACUACGUG